GCGGGAGUAGCUCAGCGGUAGAGUCCCACGUUGCCAACGUGGAUGUCACGAGUUCGAAUCUCGUCUCCCGCUCCA
rnacentral:tRNA from 1 species